GUGCGAGUCCAAGCGGCUCGGGUCGGAGUUUCGCGGCACCCCCCGCCCUGUGCCGCGCGGAGGGGGCCGAGGAGGGAGGCGGGCGGAGGGAGAGAGCGCGGGCGGAGGCAGGCCGCGAGCGCGGGCGGCAGGAGGGAGGAGGGAAGGAGGAAGCGCGCGGGGAGCGCGCCCUCGCCCUGGCCCCUCCGAGCCUCCGACUAGUCCUUGCAACUUCUUGGCCUGACAAUCGGGAAAAGUUGGCCCAUGCCAGCUUUCCGACAGGGAUCAAACAGGACCCUGAACCAAAGCAGACGUGAAAAAGCUAAAGAAGGACGGAGUUCUGACUCAAGCAAGGGAGAGAACUUGGGAAGUAUGAGGAGAUGGUACUGAGAAAAUGAGGAGGGCUUUCCCACACUCUUUCCUCCACUUCUCCAUCGGGAAGCACUCACUGCUUGUGCAAACACCAUUCCUAAAGUAUUUUCAGGAUGCCUGGACAGUUACGUGUAUGGCCACUCUGAGGCCUCAGAUGAGCUGUAAAGAAGCUGAAGGGACCUGCUCUCAGGAGGCAUCUCCAGGAGAGAGAGAGAAACCCAAACAGAUGUGACUGUGAUGAGUAAAAAUGAGAGAAUUCAGACAGCCUAAUCAGGAGCAGCCUCAGUACUUUUUGAGCAGAAAGGAAUUGGCUGUCUUUCCGAAACUCUGAAAACGAGAGAUUUCAAACACCCUCCCUUUGUGAAGAUAAACAUAAUUGGAGCCACUUGCCAGUUUGCUCUCCAUCUUCACUAACAGUCCAUCAAAACAUCUGAGUGACUGGUUACCAGGUCCCGGGCUGAUGAUGAGCUCAAAGGGAGGAAGGAGGGGCUGGUUCACGUGCACAAGGUCAAGCAACACUAGAUCUCACCAUUAACUGAGUAGGGCAGCAGAGGGGGUAUUUAAGAGACUGGGCAGCAAGUACCACCUUUUGUGGUCUCAUUAUGUCCAAAAGCCCAGGGAAAUGACUGGAUAGAAAUACAAAUGAGGAGAUUAGAGAAAGGCCAUUAGCAAAGGCUCUGCCACUUAACUCCAAGCAAGAAGAAAAUGCAUUUAAGGAAAUCUUGUCAAUGUCACACUGGAAUUUCAGGGACAGAAAGUGUGACUACUGUAUUCUGUAACAUAACCUGACACGUUUAUUAGCUGGCAAAGAGUCUCUCCUAGUCAGAUCAUUUGGGGGAAUUAUGCUUCAGAAACAAAGGUCUCCAGGACCAUUCUUUUAGAAAUUGUUUGGCUCUCCUGAUUUGCAUUCAGAAUGACAAGCCAGAGAACCCUGGGCUUGCAUUGCACUAGGAUGGUGGCUUGGUCUGCAUUAUGUCCUCUCUCUGAGGUCAUUCUCUAAAUACUUAAGCUAUAGAAUUUACUGAAGUCACCUCUAGUUUAUACCUAAAAUCAAUUGGGAACACACUGGUUAAUUCUAAUCCCGAAGAAGAAAAAUCCUAUAACCCACAUAAAAAUUUCAUUGUUCAGUCAUAAUUUAUGAACAUUAAAACCAUAAAGCACCCUGACAGUAUUAAUCAUAUCUAUGAAUUCAGCUCUUUGCCACUUAAUUAGCCAUAGCAGCUGCAACAUCAAGAGUUCAAGGCCUCUGAUUACCUGCUUGGUCAUUUAAUCAAGAAAACCUGGAGAAAAUAUAGGAUUGCUGGGGUGGAGGUUUCUCUCAUGAUCAUUAGGAGAGAACACAAGGAAAUGAGGUUAAGCUCCAACAUACGGGGAUUUAAAGUUUUGUACAAGGGAAACAUUCGUCUCAGUAAGGGUUGUUAAAUACCAUAAUUAAUUGCUGAUUCUCCUAUAGAAGCUUUUAUGAAUACAACAGAAAUUUUAUCUAUCUCAGUGGGUAUGUGGGAUGAUGUCUCCAAGGUUCUCAUUCUGUCAUAAAAACUACACUACUAUUUGUAUACCCAUGACCUGCAACCAAGAAGUGGUCAUGGGGAAAGGGACAGCAAGAUCAUUAUUGAGAAAGUUUAAGAUCCUGUCUGAUGGGGCAUGGAGAUAGCUAGUGCCCUUGCCUUUGGAAGAUCAUUUUGGGUGAACUUUGAGCAUGUCGGUCAAGGCAGUCACAUCCAUUUUUGAAAGUUUCUCUCAUCCAACAUGUGGGAAAAACUUUGUACAUCCAAUAAAUUCAUUCUUAACCAAAUGGGUUGCCUCAGUGGUGACAGAGCAUUCAGAGCCAACAAAAGCACCAGCUUCUUUGAGUUCGAUUCAGUUUUAUUCACUAAUAUUUGAAUAUCUUGAAGGAAUAUUUGCUAUUUUAUGAACUGACUGGUGGCUAGCAAAUAUAAAUGAAGUGUUUCUAUGAUGAAACAUUUAUGGCAGACUAAAAAUGUGCAAGACUCAGAGGCAAAAUAUCUAUAACACUGGGUUCAUUUCUUGCCUGGUGAACUAAGUAAUCUAAAUGAAAAGCUAGGAAAAACAUGAUGGAGGAUUUGAGGCAAAAGCAGACAAUCAGUAAUUUUUCUGGAUCUAAGCUGUUUCAAGAAAUAGGAUUUCUUGAGGAAGAUGACCUAAACUCAAGAUUGAGGAAGGGAACGCAGUAUUUGCAAAUGAUCUAAUGUUCAUUAUUACUUAGGAUAAGGGGGCAGGAUUCGCAACCAGCACAGGGAACUCUGGAUUGCCAACGGCACUGCUUCCACCAAUUGUCUAUCAACAGUUGUCAUUUUUUAAAGGAGCAGAGAGAUAACGGGAAACUACUUCAGUGCUCUCUCGGGAUUAAGAGUCUUAACACUUCUCUUUUUGGACACCAACCAGGAUUUGGGCAGGAGAACAUGCUGAAUUUGGAGGAAAUGGUUUCCUCCAGAUUCUAGGGAGGGGACGAAGGACAAGUCCAUGAUCUACCUAAGAACUGUGCAGAUGCCCUAGAUGGUUUUUAAACUCGCCACUCUGCUUAAGAUUUUUUUUUUUUUUGCCAAAACUGGGUUUCAAAUAGUGAUAACGCUCAAUCAAUGCUGUGGCUAUAAUUGGACAAGCAAAUUAAGUGCUGUAACACUAUUUUUUAACCCUUACAACAACCUGUAAGGUAGGUAUUAUCAUUAUUGCCACUUUACAGAUGAGAAAAGUGAAGUCUAGAGAGACUAAGUGAUAUAUCUAUGGUUUCCUGGCCUGUACCCAGGUGGCAGUGCCAGUAUUUAAACUAAAGAAUCUCAGGCAAUCAUGUGUACAAAGCAAGCCCUUUAAAUACGAUUGUUUCCUCCUUGGCACUGGGUCUGAAAUUUAGGUCACUGAACAGUGGUGCCUGGAUAUGGCUGUCUCUUAGCUUGGGUAACAGAAAAAGAUGGAAUAUGGCAUGACUUUCAAUUCAGUUAUGUUUUUUGUUUCUUUUUUUAAACAAAAUUGAAUUAUGAAACAAAACAAACAAGACUAGAUAUGACCUAUUAGCGUAUGACCUAAUGGAUAUGACCUGUUAUAGUUAUGAAUAUAGUUCACACACUUUUAACAAUAACUUCUUGGAACAAUAUUUAAAGAAAGCAUCACUACCUUUCUCACUAAAAUUAAAUAAUUAUAAAUCACUGCUUAAUGUCAUUCUUAGUGCCUCAGCACAGAGAGCACUUUGACACAGGACCUGGUCUGACUCAGGUAAUCUGGGGCUUUGGAAUGCUAUGAGACCCAAAGGACACUUACUGGCCUUUAUCUGCAUCACUACUUAGCAGAGAUAAGAAGUUAAGGCACUCCCAAUUCUCUCAGCUCUUUCCAUACAGAGAAAACUGGCUUUCCACACUGUAAGCUUUUUGUCUGCCAUCUGCUUUCAGCUACAGGAAGCUUGAGUUCAGCCAAAAGAGAGAAAAAUAUUACACACAGUGUAUUUACUUCCACGGUCUGAAGCCCAUGACUAUCCUUUUGCAAUCAGGGGGUUCUCCAGUAUCCAUUCGAACUAACUUGCUCUAACGUUUCCCUUCUGACAAACAGCUAAAAGUAGAAAGAGACUGAAAUUAUUUAGUAACUUCUCUGCAACCACUGAAGACCUCAAGCAAUUUUAGAACCUGAUUUCCUAACAGGGGCCUUGAUGCUCAAUUAACAGUCUCAUUUUAGAGAAGAGAUCUGAGGCAAGAGAUGUUAAAUGAAUUUGUCCUGGGCCAAAUUGUUCAUUCAUUCAUUCAUUUGUGCAUUCAUUUGGAAUUGACUGCAAACAAUUUGCCAUUUUCUGAGCUACCCCCUGAAGGAUGCAAAGGUACUAAUAGCUAUAAUUUAUUUAUUGAGCACUACCUAUAUCCCAGGCACUAUUCUAAGUACUGUAUCCUUAUUCACUCAUUUAAUACAACACCCUCAUGAGCUUAUCCUCAUUCUACAGAUGAAGAAGCUGAGGCUAAGAGAGGUUAAUGAGUCCAUUCAGGUAGGAGGUGGUGGAGCCAAAUGGAUUCAAAGCCAGGCAUUGGGACUUCAUAUCCCAUGUUCUUAAAAGUGCUCUAUUGACUCUCUAGUGAUUGUCCCUGGCCUCGAGUGGAGGAGAAAGAGAAGUAAAGAAAAUAACUAAAACACAAAUGUGAUUAAACACUGUAAGAGUAGUACCAAAUGUCCAAAGUGUUGUGGGCACACAAAAGCAGACACAGCUAACUCUGGGGACAGGAGGGCAGGAAUUGGAGUCAGCUUCAGAAAAAGGAAAAAACCCACAAAACUGGGGGCCAGC